AUCCUUCUCCUCACAGGAAAUAACGAAGUGGAACGGGGUUGAAUCCAUUUUAUCAUAGAAAAGUUCAAACAAUUCCCUUGACCAGUCCAUGUCAGUUUCAUGACAGAUCUGCUUUCAAAUCAAUACCACCUACAUGAUUUGGGAGGCACUAUGUUCCAAGAUCUGUGUGUUUGGAAGAGAAGCUUAUUUGCUAUGCAUACUUUCUAUUUACUAGGAAAAAACAAAGGCAAAUAAAGGCAGACUGCAUAGUCAGGAGCUGAAGAUGUCACCUAAGUAAACCCUGAAAGCAUGGAGACAAUGACAGAGAGACAGCAACACACUUUGAAUUUAAACAAGAAUGGCACAGGGUCUUCAGUCUACCAAUCAGGAAAACUCUGAACGAGUCUAGCUUUGCUUAAUGAGUAAGUCACUUGCUGCCAUAUCAGAAGACUGCCUAAUUAGCAGUUCCAAGAUCCCUUCAAAUUAAUUUAGCCUUUUCAGACACUCAUGUGAUUCAUAGUAGCAAAGAACAAAUUAUUCCAUUUUAAAUGUAAUCUGAUUCAGUAGCUCCUGGUACCAGACAUUUUGUCAGAUGUGACUUUUCCAAGGAAUAUCACUUUACUAGCUGCAUUAGCAAGACAACCUUCAUUUCAAUGAGAAAAAAGACACUUAUAGUACUUGGGAAAUCUGCUCUCUGGCCUCUUUCUUUGCUUUCCAAACUCAUAUACAAUGACAGUUACAAAACACAUGUAAUUACAAGCUUUAAAAAAUGGGUCUUGUUGAGAAUUACAGUUUUACAGUUAAUACUUUUGCAAAUCUGAGUAAUUAGGCACCAUGAAGAACUGUUAAAAGAAAAUACAGAAUACAUAGACCAAUAACAUCUAGUUAUCAAUUAACAUGUAUCAAUUAAAAUUAAUAUUUUACAGGAAGAUUCUGUUUUGCAAAAUUAUUUUGCAAAAGGGACCAUGUAAUUUAAAAAUGAAACCACUGUAUUCAAUCAGUACUUUAAAAUAUUUACAAACAUGCCCUGUUGAGCCAUGGAGCUUUGGAUGGCUUUUUUUUUGUAAACUCUGUCACUUACGGAAAAUUCACAUUUAAAGAACUGUGUGUUGAAUUUCCAUAAUCAUCAUUAUUAUAUGGUUAUGUAAUCUUAAAACUUUUUUGAUGUUCAUCCAAUAAGUGCAAUUUCUCAAAGAUGACAUUUACUCAAAGCAAGAUUGCACAUCAGAGGGAUGGAUAGAUAUUAAAAUGUGACUCAGCAAGGUGAUGUACUUUCAAAGUGCCUAUGAGUCAUGCCAUUAUUUAUCCAGAUGGAUCUCAAAACAUGGGCCUAGAAGUCAGUACCAUAAAAAUGUAUCCUAAAAUCACCAUGUAGUGUUCAAUGAGAGGAUAACUCUUGUUGUAUUUACACUUUAAUCUGUUGAGUAUCAGGGCUAUGGGUAUGUCUACACUUGGAGCUAGGGGGUGUGAUUCUCAGCUUGAGGAGACAUACUCAUGCUAGCUCUGAUCUAGCUAGUGCACUGAAAAUAGCAUAGCUGCAGCAGUGCAAGUGGUGGGAGGGUCUAACCACGAGUACCUGUCCAAGAUGGUAGGCACGUACUUAGGGCAGCUAACUCCCCUGUUGAUUGUGCUGCUGAGGCUAUGGUCUAUUUUUAGCAUGCUAAUUCUGGCCGAGCUAGCGGAGAUAUGUCUCCUUUGCGCUGAGACUCACACCCCUGGCUCCAAGUGUACACAUAUGCUGGGAGGCAGGAAAGCAGAAAUAGGAACUGCAAGAGUAAUGCUGCAACAGUUUUGAGCUGCACAUAGAGUUUUAGUCCUUGUUUUUCUGCAAAAGAACUACUGCUUGAAAGGUAGAGAAAUAUGCCCCUCUGGCUGAAACCUUGAGACCUAAGUGUUACUAGGUCCAGACACACACACUGCUCUUCGGAGUCUUAGGCGCAUGGGACUCCAGUAACAAGCGAGUGCUGAGAGAAUGCUGAAUCGGUCAACACUACGCUCGGCUGAUGCGGCAACGUAUGGUGUCUGACACCAUCAGGUGGUUGAAGGACAACUACAUAGAACACAUCACAAGACACUGGCAAUACCAGGAGGGAUGAGCUGGAGUGCCGAUGAAAAGCGCAGUCAGGAAAGUAACUGAAAUACUUUCCUCAUGGAUUGUAUUUUCUAAAUGGACAAGCAACCUAAUUCUCAGUUACUGAGGGACAAUCUCCACUCAGUGAUAUAUUUUGCUUUCCUCAACCAAAUCUCUCUACAACUUUUCAUGAGUGAUGUACCCGAGUAUUUGGAUUCUAAUAUCUAAACUGUAUUCAGAUUCUAAUAUCUAAACUGUAAAUCUAUUCACUUAAAUUUGGGUUAUUGCUUAUUAUGUACUCUAUGUAUCAUAUGACUUUUAAAAAUUAACUUUAUAUGUGUGGAUCAUCUAAGCACUAUACCCAGAUGUACAGGUACUCUUUUCCCAACCCAUGUAUUAUAUAAUUUUUUGAA